CCCUUAGAUGUCCUGGGCCGCACGCGCGCUACACUGAGUGUCUGAGAUACGAGUCUGCCUGGUCCGGCAAGGUCUAGGUAAUCGCUAAAAGACACAUCAUGCUUGGGAUAGAUUAUUGCAAAUAUUAAUCUUGAACGAGGAAUUCCUAGUAAGCGCAAGUCAACAGCUUGCGUUGAUUACGUCCCUGCCCUUUGUACACACCGCCCGUCGCUACUACUGAUUGGCUGUUUAAGCGAGGUUCUCGAACUGCUAGCGACUUAGCUUCGGUGAGGUCGCAGUGUGGGAAGUGAACCUAGCUUUGGUGUCUAGAGGAAGUAAAAGUCGUAACA
rnacentral:rRNA from 1 species